CGUCAGGAGGAUUUUCUCUUUCCGCAAUUUUUCGUGCACGAAAAAGCGAAAAGUUCGUGUUUCUCGAUGACGGACAACAUCCGUUUAAUUUCACCGAACCUCCGGAAAACCCAGAGCCCACGGAACGAGGGGUAUCAUUUUGAGGGGUUAUUUGAAUAAAGUUAUCGGCAGCCGGGUUGCGUCUUUUCCUGAUCUCAUCGUUGGAUCGGAGCUGGGGCGCGGGUCGGUUCGAGAUAGAGACUUGGAUCGGAUUUGAGUGAAGGGUUCUGUAAAUUUGAAUUAACCUCGAGUUUCGUUGUAAAUCAACAGCCCACCAUAUCGAGAUUCAUGCAACUCAUCCCCGCGGUGCCAAAUAUUUGCUCUCUGCUUAUCGGGACAUAUCGUUGCUUCGCCGUUCUACGUUUCACGUCCUUCGUCAGGGGCGAAUCGCACGCAGUUAAUUUGCAAAAAAAAAAAAGUAGCGAUUUCAAUUUACGGUGACUCGUGAAUUCGAGUGAAUCCCGGAAAUUCUGCGAUACAUCAAACGGGACAUCCGCAAUUUUUGGAGAUCGCCGUGACACGCAUUUCAUUUGGUACCGUGAAGAACAUUCCGCGAGCCACGUGCAGCUAUGAGGAUACGACUAUAUUGGCAUUCGGUGAUUAAACAAAGCUCUAUUAUACUUCGAAUCCAAGACGAAUGGCGGAUACGGGGGACUGACCAGGCAAUACAUAACGUAUCGAGAAUGGCGGGAAUUGGUCCAAUUUCAAUGCCCAAUUUGGAAAAGCCACGUCAACCUGGUACAGGAUUACACGCGGAGUGGGUAGCUUGUAUACGUGAGAAUGUUGUGACGAGGAUGUAUGAAGCAGUAAUUAUUUCCACGAUAUUGUCUGGGCUGGUUGCGUAAUAAUGGGAAAUCCAGGCGAUCGCCUACGCGGAAUCUCCGUUCGGUGUACAAUGGGAUUACCAUGAAAUCGUUACGGAGGUAGAUCAAUGACGGCAAAGGGGAUUUAAAAAUUCAGGGAAACCUUUUCCAAACUAAAAAAAGGUCUUGCGAAAUUUAAUCACACAUCGGGUCGGGCGAUCACUUUUGUUGCUCGAAAAGUGUGUUGCGCACCUUUUAACCGAAAUGAGAAAUCGGCUGGGUGUUAUUCCAUCCGAGUCUGGGGUAAGAGUCAGCCCGCGGAAAUAACCCUUGGGACGAGCAGCUGGCAGAAUGGUAAACGAGAUCAAUUCGCGUGUUACCGAAAGAGAAAUUACUAGGCGUCAAUAAAGUCGAUGGGGCUGAGGGAAAAAAUGCGAAUACCGUCAUCGUUUAGCGAAAUUAAUAGCUCGGCAUAUACCUGGAAUAAUAAUUUCCACGCAUUUGAAAUGAGAAAAAAAUUCGUCGACAAUACCACGAUGUUCGGCGGGUGAAAUUUCGUGAAAAAAAAAACACCCACCCCUCCGAAUUCACGCAGUUAUAUUCCAGAUCCGAAAUGAUGACACGGUGUUUCUGAGGGAUCUGAAACGUAUAUACCAGCUCUAUUAUUUGAUGAGAGUGGCGAAAAUGUGUCGCGGGAAUCGCGGGUUGUUUCUGCAUCCACGCCCGACAUUUCCACAAGCCUUGAGCCUCUCCCGAAGAGCGAAGAGCAGUGGGAGGAAUGACGGAAAAGGGAAUAUAAGAGAGGGUGUAGACGUAGCUGCGAAACGGCGAGAAAUAUACCCACCGGGGGAUGAAAAUCAAGCCGAGCUGUCGCGGAUCUUCCGACCGACGUAUCGCGAUCCCGGCGAAAACCCGACUUCGCUUCGCCCUGCACUUCCAUCCGGUGCGAUACGAAUGUCCGACGUAGAAAAGACCCAAUAAGAAUCGGACGAAAUUUUCGCGACGAAAUGGACACCGAAAAUCCAUUCUCCCGCGAGAAGAACGCGACACGGUGUAGUCGUUGACAUACACAGUUUUCAAAACAUUCCGAGAUUCGUUCACCGGCGGCGAAUUUAUGAUCCGAAUUAUAAUCCCGGCAAAUCCGACGGCUUAUCGCGCUGCUAAUUGUAACUCGCAGGUUCCGUAAGAUCCUUCCUUAUACCACGGUCCUAGGAUUAUGCGGGUUAAUCCAUUAAAGUUUGGACACGACUCGCCCGGAGAAAUUUCAGCCUCUCGUUUACAGAAGCGUGACCAUGGGUACGUGGGAAUUGGUUUGCGCGGUGAUAUCACAUCGAAAAUAACGUGUCUUCCUUCGGCGAAAAUUUAUUACCCUUUACGGUAGAUCUUUCGCAUCUCCUGAAUAGAACAGCCGACCGCGUGAUACGAUAUAAGCUGCUCAACUGAAUAUUUAUAAAGGAUCGCUCUGAAUCCUUACCACUUUCUUACAAGAAAGAACCGAGUUCUCUUUGCUAGCCAUUCUCCAAGUGUAUUGAUUGAAUGUAAUCUAUGGAAGCGAAAAAAGAAGUGCCAUUAGAAAAUGCCUCGCUUCUUGUACGGCUACCGCCGUUCGUAUAAUAGCUCCUGCGUCCUGAUUGGAUUUUUCAUAUUUUUUACCUUUGCUGAACAAUUUUUACUCUCCCGCGUUUUGCUUUUAUAUAUUUUUUUUUUUCUUCGCCACGAUCUUGUCGAAGGGCCGGUUUACAUCUCGGUUAAAAAACGCGGGUAAGCCGGUAGAGAAAAAAGCCUCGCCGUACACCGAGGAGAGACAAUGGAUUCAUUUGGGGGACCAGCGGAGACCGCUAUUUGUCUCGAUCCACUUGACGGGCGUGGUCUCUCCUCGUCCCUUGUACGUACAAGGACGGGUGUGGAAUGAAAGAACUCCGAUAAAAUUUUUUUUUCUCCUCUUUCCCUUCCUACAUUCUUCUCCUCUCACCCUCUCUUUCUCGCAAACUUAAACCGCGUGAAAUCGCGUUUCCACGAGAUAUCUAUGGAAACUCUGCAGCGGUGUAAUCGAUGUACACGCUCGAAGGGUUGAAAGGAGUAACGCCAGAUAAAAACGCCAGCUUCAUCACUCGGGAAAUGUUUCAAGUAGGAAUACGAUGAAGAAAUUGGACUCACCGCUGUAGAUGUUCCCGACGUGAUCGCGUAGCGUUUCGGCGUAAUCUUUGGGGGAGGUCGUUUCAGCGUCAAAGGUUCCAAAAGUAAAAUCCUGUCGUCGUUUGACGAAUUCCACCAUGGACUUCAUCAUCAACUGGCAAGUGUGCCUUCCGGCGACUUGAGUCUGCCCGUUCGUUGCGUAGAGAAGAUGCACCUUCUGCCAUUUGUUUCUGAAAUAAUGAAAUGAGAAAAAUAAAGAAUGAUAUGAAUUUUUUUGAUUUUUCAUUUAUGCCAGCAUUUCGUUUCUUUUAAUUGGUCGUAUAUGUAACCGAAUAACGAGGGACGAAAUUUUUCCUUUUUUUGUUGCCUUUGCCAAAAUUUCAUCCCCCGAUACUCCGACGUCGCGACGCUCUCGAUUGUUCUCAAACGUAGCCAACGGCUCGCGAAACAAUCAGCUCAACAAGAUUAUCAUCAGCGCUGUUUGCAAUAAGUAAAAGCAAAUAAAAGAAUCAAGUGUUAUAUACGUACGCUCUAGAUUCCCCCGGCUGAUUAUUUUCUUUCUUUUUGCGGAAAACGAGAAAAAAAAAGCACAAGCAAAACUUGAAAAAAAUAAAUAAAUAAAUAUGACACGUAAUAUAUAUUAUUCGGUGAAAUUGUUUUUAAUCUAAUCUUGCAUUCUUAUCAGCUGCGUGUCUACACGUACGUGCUAAUCUUUAUUUUUAACGUAUAUUUAUAGACAAUAGACAUACGGAGCAUUCCACGUGAAACGGCCCCUUUUUCUCAAAAUACUUUUUUCAACUUGACGAAACUUUUUCGACGUCAUGAGGGGUCUCAAAAAUCAUACUCGGAUCACCUGUUACCACAUUUACCGAAAGUUUAGUUUUUUUUUUCUACUAAUAUUUAACAGUGUAAUAGACGAGAACGUCGUAGAUCGGAAUUGUUACCACGAAUGGUAACCGUUUGACGUGGAAUGCCCCAUACAUAUAAAACUCGUAUGUAUUUAGAUCAGAACCACAUUCACCGAAUCCAUUAUUUCCGUACUUGAAGUGAACGACGUUUACGAUAUACGUCAUCGGGAUUGGUUCAUUGAAAUAACACUUUAUCAGAUAACGGGAUUCAUAAGUCAGUCAGCCGGCAAAUAGCUUCUGAAAAAUGGGAAGGCCUCGACACGAACGAAAUACAAACCUACAAUGACAAAA